UGAUCUCUUAAAGGAUAUCUCAUUUCACUUGAUGAAGAUUCACCUUCAUGCAUUCCAAUAGCUCUUGCAAUCUUCUUUUCUCUUAAAACUUGUCUCUUCACACUUAAAAGUUGGUAUUCCUCAUCACCAUCAUCAUCUUCAACGUCUUGAUUGUCUUCAUUGCUGGUUUUAGUAAUUGUAGGUACCUCAAGAUCUAUCUUCUUUGAUUCUUCAUCUUGAUUUGAAAUUCUACCAUCUUCACUAUUAUCAUCAUCUUCUUCUU
rnacentral:lncRNA from 1 species